AUUGAACGCUGGCGGCAGGCCUAACACAUGCAAGUCGAGCGGAUGAAGGGAGCUUGCUCCUGGAUUCAGCGGCGGACGGGUGAGUAAUGCCUAGGAAUCUGCCUGGUAGUGGGGGAUAACGUCCGGAAACGGGCGUUAAUACCGCAUACGUCCUGAGGGAGAAAGUGGGGGAUCUUCGGACCUCACGCUAUCAGAUGAGCCUAGGUCGGAUUAGCUAGUUGGUGGGGUAAAGGCCUACCAAGGCGACGAUCCGUAACUGGUCUGAGAGGAUGAUCAGUCACACUGGAACUGAGACACGGUCCAGACUCCUACGGGAGGCAGCAGUGGGGAAUAUUGGACAAUGGGCGAAAGCCUGAUCCAGCCAUGCCACGUGUGUGAAGAAGGUCUUCGGAUUGUAAAGCACUUUAAGUUGGGAGGAAGGGCAGUAAGUUAAUACCUUGCUGUUUUGACGUUACCAACAGAAUAAGCACCGGCUAACUUCGUG
rnacentral:rRNA from 1 species